AACCCAAGCCAGGAAGUCUGUUUUUGAGAGGACAACUGAGAUACUGGGGUUUGAUGUUCAUGAAGUCCAACAACCUUGUGGAAACGAAGUUGGUGUUGCUAGCUAGCUUAGCUACGGACCACGACUACGACGCACGACCAUCCCCUGGUAGGUGCAUUGGAUGCAGCUCACACGAGGAUAGUGGAACUGGAGGUGCUGGUGUUGUCACAUGAAACUUCAAUGAAGGACUCGUCUCACCAAAUCC